rnacentral:rRNA from 1 species
UACGGAGGGUGCGAGCGUUGUCCGGAAUCACUGGGCGUAAAGGGCGCGUAGGUGGCGCGACAAGUCAACGGUGAAAGCUCGGGGCUCAACCCCGAGUCGGCCGUCGAUACUGUUGGGCUCGAGCACUGUAGAGGCAGGUGGAAUUCCGGGUGUAGCGGUGGAAUGCGUAGAGAUCCGGAAGAACACCGGUGGCGAAGGCGGCCUGCUGGGCAGUAGCUGACACUGAGGCGCGACAGCGUGGGGGACAAACAG